rnacentral:rRNA from 1 species
CAGCAGCCUCGGGAAUACGGAGGGGGCUAGCGUUGUUCGGAAUUACUGGGCGUAAAGCGCACGUAGGCGGCUUGGUAAGUUAGAGGUGAAAGCCUGGAGCUCAACUCCAGAAUUGCCUUUAAGACUGCCGAGCUAGCAGGUGAGAGAGGUAAGUGGAAUUCCGAGUGUAGAGGUGAAAUUCGUAGAUAUUCGGAAGAACACCAGUGGCGAAGGCGGCUUACUGGCUCAUACUGGACGCUGAGGUGCGAAAGCGUGGGGAGCAAACAGGAUUAGAUACCCCCGUAGUCCCUGUCUCUUAACA